CAAAAACACAUAUCUAACACAGAAACGUUAACAAACAAAAUUGUCGACUUUUCUUGGAAGGGAAAGGCUUCAGGUGUGUCUUGGGGCAUCAUCCAUCUCCGGCGGACCGGAGUCUAAUCCAGGAGUCCUGACGGCCGGCCCAUCUCCCCAGCAACUAUAAGGCAAGAUCGGCGACCCGCAAUGGCGAUGAGGCUUCGCUAGUAUGCGCGGCCAGAAAUCGCAGCACCUGAUGGCGGCGGCGAGCCCGAUGAAAGUGGGGAGUACAAAGCCACGGCCACGUCGUUUUCGGUCAAUGGAGCGAAUAAAUGCCCCCAAUAUUCGUAAAUCCUGCCGGUUCCAGACGGCGCCUCAUGGAAUGGACUCACCGGACUCCAGGUUAGCCAUAUGAAAGGCUUAGGCAACGGCUGCUUAGAGGCUCGUUGAAUAUCUUCGCUCGCUCCUCUCCAGAAACAUCCGCCCAGUAACGUCGGCGGCGGGUGAGCUUUACACACAAUUUCCAAAUAAAGGAUGGCGUGGCCAGCGAUUGUAUCACUGCCACGCUGAAAUUACACAUCCAUUAAA